rnacentral:rRNA from 1 species
UGGGGAAUAUUGGUCAAUGGACGCAAGUCUGAACCAGCCAUGCCGCGUGAAGGAUGAAGGUCCUCUGGAUUGUAAACUUCUUUUAUCUGGGACGAAAACGGGAUUUUUAUCUCAAUUGACGGUACCAGAGGAAUAAGCACCGGCUAACUCCGUGCCAGCAGCCGCGGUAAUACGGAGGGUGCGAGCGUUAUCCGGAUUUACUGGGUUUAAAGGGUGCGUAGGUGGGCUUAUAAGUCAGUGGUGAAAUCUCCGAGCUUAACUUGGAAACUGCCGUUGAUACUAUAGGUCUUGAGUUAUCUGGAGGUAAGCGGAAUAUGUCAUGUAGCGGUGAAAUGCUUAGAUAUGACAUAGAACACCAAUUGCGAAGGCAGCUUACUACAUAUAAAUUGACGCUGAGGCACGAAAGCGUGGGGAUCAAACA